CACUGUCUAGCCCCAUAUACCAUCUCAGAGCAGCACCAGUCAAACUGUCUUGAAAGUAGUGAAUCAACAAUUGAUCAUUAUCAGUUUGAGUUAACAUCUUCCUGGCAUACAUAACAAGGUGGCUAAUUGGACAAGUAUUUCCCUUAUACUUUUCAAAGUUAGGGACUUUGAACUUCAUCCGGAUCUUCACAUUCGGUACCAAGAAGAGUUCAACAACACUCUUACCAAAUAAGUCAUUUCCUCUAAA
rnacentral:lncRNA from 1 species